UACGAAGGGGGCUAGCGUUGCUCGGAAUUACUGGGCGUAAAGGGCGCGUAGGCGGAUAGUUCAGUUGGGGGUGAAAGCCCGGGGCUCAACCUCGGAACUGCCUUCAAUACUGGCUAUCUUGAGUACGGGAGAGGUGUGUGGAACUCCGAGUGUAGAGGUGAAAUUCGUAGAUAUUCGGAAGAACACCAGUGGCGAAGGCGGCUCACUGGACUGGUAUUGACGCUGAGGUGCGAAAGCGUGGGGAGCAAACAGG
rnacentral:rRNA from 1 species